rnacentral:misc_RNA from 1 species
GAAAUGCGAUAAGUAAUGUGAAUUGCAGAAUUCCGUGAAUCAUCGAAUCUUUGAACGCACAUUGCGCCCCCUGGCAUUCCGGGGGGCAUGCCUGUCCGAGCGUCAUUUCUGCCCUCAAGCGCGGCUUGUGUGUUGGGUGUGGUCCCCCCGGUGUUGGGGGGACCUGCCCGAAAGGCAGCGGCGACGUCCCGUCUAGGUCCUCGAGCGUAUGGGGCUUUGUCACCCGCUCGUGAGGGGCCUGCGGGCGUUGGCCACCCACGAUAUUUUUUUACCGUUGACCUCGGAUCAGGUAGGAGUUACCCGCUGAACUUAAGC